UACUGCCUGGGGUGUGCGACAGUUCUGUUUAUUUUUGAACCUACAUCGACUUGAACGGGUUUCCCAGAUUGCUGCGGCUGAUGCCGGGCCGUCUUCGAACGGAUGGCAGAAACGUAUGCUGCGGUUACCCACCUGGCUUUACGCUAGGAGUCAAAAGGCGGGGCACCGGCACUUCGGGCUUUAA
rnacentral:other from 1 species